CAUGCUCUAAGAAAAAAAUCAUCAGUGGUAUUUAAGAUGCAGAAUUAUAUUAAUUGUACAAAUUAAUUUUCAAAUUUGACUAACUUAAAUAAUUAUAUAGAACUUAAAAAUUAUUUGAACUGUGAACUUUCUGACUUUUUCUGUCAAGAGACACUGAUCAUCCUCACAGAAGCAUGAAUGUAAAUACAACCCCUAACCCUAUUGGCUUCUCCCCUUUUCCCCUGCAGGUCUCUAAAAGGCAACAGACCCCACAAACACACCCGAGUGUAUUUUACCUGUGUUGUUGAUGGUUAUAGAUGAACGCAUCAUAAUUCAAGGGAGUAACUUCCCAAAAUGUUAAAGAAUUUAAGCAAUUACAGGUUCCUUCUAAGAUGAACAAAUGUGUUUAGGAGAAGACAUUGAAUCUAAAAGUCAAGGCUGGGGUUGUAUCUCAGUGCUAGAGUGCUUGCCUAGCACUGGUGAAGCACUGGGUUUGCUCCUCAGCACCACAUACAAGCAAAAAACAAAGUAAAGGUUAAAUUCAUUAAAAAAUGAUUUAAGUCAUGCUUACCUCAUGACAAAUGGUGAAUUCUCAGGUUACCUAACACCUGAGAUUUCAGUUUUGAAAUCUUGAAAUUCAGUUUUGAAAAUAAGAGCAUUGAGUAGAACGGAGCAGUCAGUUCUGGGUCACAGGUCAGUUGUGAGAAAAUUAAAUGUAGUCUUAGUCAUAAACUUAUGGCUUUGACAGAAGAAAUCAGAAUAUGAAAGAUUGUAUGAAGGAAUAUUUUAAAAUGUAUGAAAAGUAGAGUAAUGAAUAUAGACUAACACAUCAAUUAUUGCAAUUCAUUAAAAUUUAAGCAAUGCUGUGGAGAGUCUUGUGGAAAGGUUGUGGGCAUAUAUGGAUGCCCCACUGCAAUUUUGUGGGGAGGCCAGCUGUUUGUGUAACAUGGGCACCUACAUUUGACUCAUGGGUCAUGGUAUAAGAUGAUGCUUUGAUUUCCAGUUUUCCAUUUAUUCUUUUUUUAUUAUAGAAAAUUGAACUCAGAGGUGAUUUACUUCUGAGCCACAUUCCCCAACCCUAUAUUCUUGUUUUUCAUUUUGAGACAGUCUUACUACGUUCUUAGGACCUCACUACCUUGCUGCUCUGGAACUCCUCCAGCUUCAGCCUCCCAAGUCUCUGGGAUUACAGGCAUGUGCCACUGUGCCUGGCUCCCACUUUCCUUUUAGCCCAGUUAACAUCCCUGAUACCCACUGCCCUCUAUCUUAGGCCCAACCCACAUCUUGAUUCUAUCAUAUCAGAGGCGUGAUUAUCAGUAGAUAAUAGGUCAAAUACCUUUUCUAUAUUAUUCAUUAUUCAUUGUCAUCCAUAUACUUAGCAUUAAGCACUGUGUUGCAACUUUUAUUUAUUUGAUUUGCUUCCCAGAAUGUCUGAAGAGUGCAUAUUAUUCUUGAUUUGCACUUAAUUUUUGCUGCUGUUCUUGUUCCACAUGUCAAUAAGAGUUUGCAGUUUUUCCAUAUAUGGACAACUGUGAAGAUGAUAUCUGCACCUCCAUCAAAUUCUAUAACCUGAAGCAUAUCAUUACAUUCCACCUGCUGCUGGAUCCCUCCAAUGAGCAAACUGGCCAUCUUGGUGGGCUGUGGAUUAAGUGGUGUGCUUUCUAUGCAACACAGAUAAUACAAUCAAUUUUAUGAGACUCAGAUGCAAAACUAAAUAUAUUCAUCUAUGUGGUCUACUGAUGGGAAGUAGAAUCAAAUAUUUCACUUUUAAGAUCACCAAGCAAAAGAAAAAUCAGUUGUGAUUCCAAGAAGAGAUGAACUCAAGUGGUGAGGUUCUCUUUAUGUCCUCAUUUCAUGAAAAUGUGCUCUGCUAAAGCCUUCUGAAAAGAUGUUCUACAAGAAGCCUGCUGCUGGUGCUCAUCUCUGGAUUCCCUCUGCCUUGGAUGCACAUUCUAACUGUGUGUAUGGGAAUGGAAGCCAGAGCCGCUGGCACAGAAAGCUGCCUUUACUGCCUUCCCUAUGGCAGGGACUGUGAGGUCUGCAUUACCCUGUGUUAUGCGAUGAUUCAGUUCACCCCAAUUUGCCCUUUGGGAACUGCUGUGAAAACUUCUUUUGUAUAGUAAAUCAUGACAGCAUUUGGCCUGCAUUUGGGGGUGAAAUAAGCCAACCCAGGGAAGUUCUGGCAUGUGGCCUGGUGGUUAAGAAGACCGUCAUAGACAGAAGGAGCUCUGAUGGAUACCUUGCGUGGAGACUGUACUGGUCUUGAGCAGAAGCAGUUCAGUUGGAGGAGACCUGUGGAAGUGUCUGAAAUUUCCUCUGCACAGCCGGGCAAGGUCCCUGUGGGAGAGAAGAGAAUGAAAAAUGCUUUCAUUCUAAGUUUCUUUAAAUAUUUUUUUUGCUGUGACUUAUAAUAUAUAAUCUAAAAUUUUCAUUUGAACCAUUUUUAGGUGUACAAUUCAGUACCAUUGACUACAUUUGCAUUGUAAUGGCAACCCUCACCAAUAUUCAUCUCCAGAAAGUUUUUGCCAUUCCAACUAGAAACUCCACAAUCAAUAAACAAUAGCUCCUGUUUUUUAUCCUGUCAGCUCCUGGUAACUAUUAGUCUAUUCUCUAUCUUUAUGAAUGUGACUGUUUUAAUGACUUCAUAUUUGCCAUUUUGUGUCUGCUUGUUUUACUUAGCAUAGUAUCUUAUCCAUAAUGUGGCAUGGAAUGCAUCAGAAUUUUGCUUCCUUUUAAGGCAUAUAUAUAGUUUUAGCCACUCAUCUGUCUAUGGGCAUUUUGUUUGUUUUCAUCUUAUGACUGUUGUAAGCAAUGCUGCAAUAUGAUAGGUGUAAAAUAGUCACUCAAGUCUCUGCUUUCAACUUUUUUAGGUAUACACCCAAAAGUGGUAUUUAAAUUUUUUUCAAAUUAAAAUAUAACAUACAAAAUAGUGCACAGGUCAUAAAGGUACAACUUAAUAAAUUGUUUUUAAACCAACAUACUCAUGUAAUCAGAAGGCAGGUCACAAAGUAGAAACUUUAUUUUUUUUUUUAAAUUUUAGAUAAGAUUCCCAAGACACAGGAAAUGAAAGCAAAAAAUAGACAAAUAGCAUUACUAGAACCAUAAAGAUUUGUCACAGUAAAAAAAAAAAAAUCAAGAGUGAAGAGAAUGGGAGAAAAUAUUUGUAAAAUAUACACUGAGAAAGGGUUAAUAUUCAGAUCACAUGAGAAACUCAAACAAUUAAAUAGGAGAAAUCUGAUUAAGAAUGUGCAAUAGACUUAAAUAGAUUUUCUCAAAAAAAAAAGGAAAGAAAUGCAAAUGCCUAACAGGUAUAUGAAAAAAAUGCUUAGCCUCACUAAUCAUCAA